rnacentral:rRNA from 1 species
AAUAAAUAACAAUGCUGAAGUAUAUACUUUGGUAAUUGGAAUGAGAACAAUUUAAACCCCUUAACGAGUAACCAUCAGAGGGCAAGUCUGGUGCCAGCAGCCGCGGUAAUUCCAGCUCUGAUAGCGUAUAUUAAAGUUGUUGCAGUUAAAAAGCUCGUAGUUGGAUUUUAGAGUAUAUUGAUAUGGUCUCUUGUGAUAAACUUGUUGUACUGUAUUAAUUACUCUUUCCUACUGGUUACUCGACUCUGUUCUUUAUUGCAUGGAGUAGUGUCGCAAGGCAUCGCUUAGUAUUUUAUUGCUUUUAGAUGUAGUAAUUGGGUAAAACUGGUUAUGAAACCUAAGGGAUCACAGUAAAGUAUUAAGUGGGGUUCCAGUUCAUUUACUUUGAGUAAAUUAGAGUGUUCAAAGCAGCCUGUAUGGGCAUUGAAUAGAUUAGCAUGGGAUAAUAGAAUAGGAUUCUUACCUAUUAUUGGUUUAUAGGUUUAGAAUAA